GAUGAACGCUGGCGGCGUGCCUAAUACAUGCAAGUCGAGCGAACGGACGAGAAGCUUGCUUCUCUGAUGUUAGCGGCGGACGGGUGAGUAACACGUGGAUAACCUACCUAUAAGACUGGGAUAACUUCGGGAAACCGGAGCUAAUACCGGAUAAUAUUUUGAACCGCAUGGUUCAAAAGUGAAAGACGGUCUUGCUGUCACUUAUAGAUGGAUCCGCGCUGCAUUAGCUAGUUGGUAAGGUAACGGCUUACCAAGGCAACGAUGCAUAGCCGACCUGAGAGGGUGAUCGGCCACACUGGAACUGAGACACGGUCCAGACUCCUACGGGAGGCAGCAGUAGGGAAUCUUCCGCAAUGGGCGAAAGAAUGACGGAGCAACGCCGCGUGAGUGAUGAAGGUCUUCGGAUCGUAAAACUCUGUUAUUAGGGAAGAACAUAUGUGUAAGAAACUGUGCACAUCUUGACGGUACCUAAUCAGAAAGCCACGGCUAACUACGUG
rnacentral:rRNA from 1 species